rnacentral:lncRNA from 1 species
UCUUGGCUCUACUACUUCUACAAUUCCUAUAAUCUUUUGGAGUUGUCUUUGAUUUAAAUUAUUAUUUUCGUGUAUUCCAUGUACACCCACCUUCUCUUGCUAUGAAGUAACCCCUUCACCAGGUAUCAAAGUUAAUGCUUGUGAUUCCUAAAAAUUCUUUGUUUCUUCGAAUUUGAAUUCUCUGAGUUUAUAUUUCUUUUUUAUUUUCUCUGUUUCUCAAUUUGGGUCUCUCUUUAUUUGUUCUUUUGCUCUACUUCUAAGAUUUGAUCACUGUGUUUGGAGGUAAUUGCUUCUCUUCUUCUUCGUGCAUUGCUUCUGGGUUUAACAAGUCUAAGGAAUCACCAAUUGUUUGCUAGAUUUCAAUUUUUUUAGGCAGCUUUGCUUUCAGUUUGCCUUCUAGGUGUUUGUGAAAUUGCCUUCUGAAAAUUUUAGUUUUGCACACAAAGAGGGUGAGAUGCGAAUCAAGGUAUUAAGGGAUGAAAAGACUGUUAGCUUCCAUGAUGAUGAAACCAUAGUGAUUUGCGCUGAUUGUUGGUGGAAGACAGACUUAAAAGAGAGCUCAAGAAUAUACCUUCUUUUUGCUUAAAAGAAUGUUGAUAUUUGAAUAAAUGAAGUCUACUCUUCACAAUAUGUACUUUCCAGUAGCAUCAAAGAAAGGAGGAGGGGCACGUGAAAUCUCAUUGCUAUUCUUUUCUAAGGAUUGAGUGCAUAGGAAGCACGAUAUUUAGAUGCACUUACCACAAAAAUAAAAAAGGGACGUUGACCACCGUAGAAAAGCUAUUUGUGAAGAACUCCUCGGAUUAAAUCCUGAUAUAAUUUGCCUAUAAGUAAUUACAAUUGCCUCUUGCUUAUUGGUAUGUUUACAUAUGUUCAUACUUUAGAUAUAAAACUGAUUGAAGAAUUUUAUUGAUGUGAUUGAAUAGGAGAUGGAUAAGUAUUAUGAUCUACUAAAAUUUUUGAAUAAAGUUGGAUAUCUCUAAGGUGCACAGGCAGAAAUGCUGCUUGGUAGUCUCAAACUUGUUGCAAUAGUCACUCUCAAGCUACAUAAGAUAAUAAGAAGGUUGUUUUCUGAGUUAGUCAAGAUGAUUUGGCGUAUCGAGAAUGAUGAGUGAUGGAGAUUGUGUGAAUGGUUUAUGUUUGGAAACUUCGCGGAAUUAUCUUCUUAGAGUAACUUUUAUGUACAGGAUUUCAAUGGCAAGGGCCAAGGGGUGAUCAAAUCCAUCUGCUUGUUUUACUCAAGAAAUUACCAAGUCUUAUGGCUGCACCAAAAUGGCAAAAACGAUAUGCAGCAGUUACAAUCAUUUGUGUCACUGCGAAACGAUGUUUAAAGAUUUAUGCCAAAGCUUUGCAUAUUAUUAUUGAAUUUAAUGUUUGAUUCUGCACUCAAGACUGCUCCUCUCUUGGAUAUGUGCAGUUUGAUCAGAAAUUUGAUUGUUAUAAUUGACCACUUCUACAAAUAGAUUGCUAAGCAUACACACACACAAAAAAAAAUUGUGAUAUCUUCUAGCUAGAAAACUUGAAAUGGCACAAUGAUUCCUUUCUUUGUUUUUUUUUUAAUGUUAUUUCUUAAUUUCAAUGUAAGUGUUCUUCCUUUUUUUUUCAAUUUUCAUGCUUUGUUUUCCUCUCGUAUCUUUCUUCUUUUUCUUGAAACAGGAAUAAAAAAUAGCUAGGUCGGCAAAGAUUAAAGAUUAGUCUAAGGAUUCCAAUAUUGUCUUAAGUCGUGAAAAAAUGAUUGAAUGUGAUGUCCCAAGACGAAGAAUUGGAUUCCAAUCAUGAAAAAUGAAUAUGUCCCUAAAUAAAAUGUACAAAGUCUGUUGACAUACAAAAUAUGAAAUGUGCUUUAUCACACCUGGAAUUCCUUUUUCAAGACUUAUUUCUCUAUGAACCUUUAGGUAAUUCUAGCUUUUUUCCUAUCUUUAUGCAGUAAUUUAUGAUAAAAUAUUUAAUCACUCAUGAGCUAUCUGAUCUCUUCAUAUGUUUAGGAGACUGAUUGUAAUCUGAAUUUAUUCUCAAACAUAUAUCCUACCUUAAAAUUUUUCGAAUGUGAAAGUUUAACAUAUUUGUAGAUAGAUAAGUAGUUAAACUUUGGUCUAUGUGCUUAAUGUUUUAUAUGUAUUUGAGAAAAUUUCGAUUGAUAUAAUUGGAUAUCUUUUGCUGAUGUUAAAACUUCUUCCCUAGGUUGAUGAGUUGCAGAACGCAAUAGAGGAAUAACAGAAGAAUUUGGUUGAAGAGAUUAGGAAUGCAGUUAAUGAUCAUAUAAGAGUAGGCUGGAGGAUGCUACUGGGGAUCCUGAAGUAAUGGCUCUGAAUUAGCGAGUGAAUUACAACUAAGCUCCAUGAUUAUAACUUUAUUCUUUCAUACAUCAGCUAAUUGUAGCAACAGAUCUCCUAAUGCAGUUCAAGUCUUUAACUGCUAUAGCCUUUGUAUGAUGCAUAUGCUACUUCAUAUUAGAGGAUUUACAUCUCAGUAACUAGCCAACUGCUUAGAGUGCAAUGCUAAUAUUGCAUAAAAGUACUGGUACUCGAGAGGCAUUUCCUUCUUCGUAACAGUUUCUUUCAGGUUAUACUAGGUUUUCUUUGAUCAUCAGCAAAGUUUAACACUUUCGAAGUUGCUCAGAGUCAAGUCAAUGACUUCUGGUAGUCUGAGCUUUAUCCUUAUAAGUAUAGGAUAAGUUGGGUUCAUUUUGGUUUGGUGCUGUCAAUGUUAAAGGCAUAAUCCAACUGGCUGCAAGGAUCAUGUUUGGUAGGGUCAAGAUGCUUUACUUAGAAUUGAGCAUGAGAAAUAGCAUAUCCCCCUAUGUUGCACAUGUAGCUUUAAGUGUAUUGCCUUGCAUCUUAGACACACUUUUCACCUACAUGCACCAUAUGUCUAAGAAUGUUCGGA